UCUAAAGAGAAGUUUGCAGCCCAUGAUUGAUUGCAGAACAGCUUAUCAGCAAAUAUAGUAAAUGUAUGCAGAACUGACCGAAAAGUGAGAAGUUGGUAUUCAUAGGAAAUUUAAAUAAUAUGCGGUUGCCAUUUUUAUUGAUAUAGAGAACGGAUUAGCAAUGCGGGUCUUUAUGGGUUUGAAAGUGAGUCUGAUUAUUAUCGUUACUAUUUUCUCCGUUAUGCUGGCAGUAUUAGUGGAUAUUUAAGCCUUGCAAAACUUAUAUGCAAACACAUUUCGCUCUGCGGCACGACGAUUAAUGAACUUGACCCAGAACAAAGGAUAAAUACUCCCCUUAAGAUUGAUAGCUGUCUAAUUGAAGUUUUAUCUGAAAUAACCUAACCUUUCAUAUUUCGCUAUAUUUGAUUCAUUAAACAAUCAAUACCUCAAUGGAA
rnacentral:sRNA from 1 species